rnacentral:rRNA from 1 species
CGAGAAAGCCCGCAAGGGUGAGUAAAGCGGCGCACGGGUGCGUAACACGUGGGUAAUCUGCCCUGAGGUCCGGAAUAACUCGCCGAAAGGCGUGCUAAUGCCGGAUGAGACCACGGGAGCCUCGGCUCCUGCGGGAAAAGGUGGCCUCUGUACACAAGCUAUCGCUUCAGGAUGAGCCCGCGGCCCAUCAGCUCGUUGGCGGGGUAAUGGCCCACCAAGGCUACGACGGGUAGCUGGUCUGAGAGGACGAUCAGCCACACUGGAACUGAGACACGGUCCAGACUCCUACGGGAGGCAGCAGUGGGGAAUCUUGCGCAAUGGGCGAAAGCCUGACGCAGCAACGCCGCGUGUGUGAUGAAGGUCUUCGGAUCGUAAAGCACUGUCGCGAGGGACG